rnacentral:sRNA from 1 species
GCACUGGCAAAAUCCAGUGUCGGGAUUAGUACCCGUUUAACCGUAGCGGCCUAGAACACGCUCCGCGUGUUUUUU